rnacentral:misc_RNA from 1 species
AACGGUCUAUACCUGCGGUACCUGCGGAAGGAUCAUUAUCAAUUUACAGCGGACUUCGGUCCUGUCUGCACCCUUGUCUUUUGCGUACUAUAUGUUUCCUCGGUGGGCUUGCCUGCCGAUAGGACACUUAUAAACUCUUUUGUAAUUGCAAUCAGCGCCAGAAAACUAUAAUAGUUACAACUUUUAACAACGGAUCUCU